ACACCGCUGACGAGUCCUAUACUAGGACGAAACGACCGUCCAGUAC
rfam:Schistosoma rodhaini strain Burundi genome assembly, scaffold: SROB_scaffold0023822